rnacentral:rRNA from 1 species
AUGAACGCUGGCGGCGUGCCUAAUACAUGCAAGUCGAGCGAACAGACGAGGAGCUUGCUCCUCUGACGUUAGCGGCGGACUGGUGAGUAACACGUGGAUAACCUACCUAUAAGACUGCGAUAACUUCGGGAAACCGGAGCUAAUACCGGAUAAUAUAUUGAACCGCAUGGUUCAAUAGUGAAAGACGGUUUUGCUGUCACUUAUAGAUGGAUCCGCGCCGCAUUAGCUAGUUGGUAAGGUAACGGCUUACCAAGGCAACGAUGCGUAGCCGACCUGAGAGGGUGAUCGGCCACACUGGAACUGAGACACGGUCCAGACUCCUACGGGAGGCAGCAGUAGGGAAGCUUCCGCAAUGGGCGAAAGCCUGACGGAGCAACGCCGAGUGAGUGAUGAAGGUCUUCGGAUCGUAAAACUCUGUUAUUAGGGAAGAAGAAAUGUGUAAGUAACUAUGCACGUCUUGACGGUACCUAAUCAGAAAGCCACGGCUAACUACGUG